AGCUGAUCUCAGGCAAGAGGACCCGCCGAAUUUAAACAUAUUACUAAGCGGAGGAAAAGAAACUAACAAGGAUUCCCUCAGUAACGGCGAGUGAAGCGGGAUCAGCUCAAUUUGAAAAGCUCUGCGAUUUUAUCGCGGCGCAUUGUAUCCUUGCUAUGGACCUUUGUUUGGCUUCGGGUGCAAUUCGUUGCUGAGAUAGCGAGCCGGAGAGGGUAACAGCCCCGUUCCGUCCGAAACGCCUCGUAUAAAGGUCUAGAGCAGUGAGUCGUGUUGCUUGGGACUGCA
rnacentral:rRNA from 1 species